CAGUGGUCCCACCGUGGCUCGUGAACUCUGGAUACCGAGCCUACGGCUGGACCUCUAGU
rnacentral:pre_miRNA from 1 species